CUGUUUCUUUUCACCAGUACAUCUGCGACCUGGACCGCCGCUCCCUGCCUAGAGUGGUGAAAAUCUGCUCCGGAGUCUACUUUCAAGUCAUUACGUUGCCACCAGUACUGAACAGGCGUUCUACUGCGGCGCUUGAAGGCAUGCCUGUGUUGUGCAGCACACGUGGAAAGCCAUGGAGUGAUGACACUUCCCUGCUGGGAGACCUCAGGGUCUGUUUAUGAAAUCUCUGGCAAUGAAUGCUGCUUAUCCACAGGAGAUCUGAUGAAAAUUGUUGAUGUUCAGCUGCAAAAUGUCACCUGCAAGAAUGUGGAGAAUGGGCACAUUUUUGAGUUGCCACUAGAUUUUAAAGGUCUUUUUCAUCCCAGUCCAAGAGUGCCAUAUGAAGCCCAGGGGGAACCUUUCCCCCUGGGCUCUCCCUUCCGUAAGUACAACUUCUUCCAGUGCCAUCAGCCACAGUCCUACACACUUCAGGAGGUCUUGCAGUCAGCAGCCAUACGGUGGAAGAGGCUGAAGUGCCCUGAAAUUGGCAAGAGUGAGUUCCAGCUCUACCCUAUGUAUAAAGUGGAAGCAAUCAUGCAUUUUCGAAACGAUGUUGUGAAAAUCAACUCAACACUGGAUGUCGAGGUGGUGGAUGUCACCAAGGAGUCAGGGCACAUCCACUUUAUCAAGCCAUUGAUGCUCAGCGAGGUCCUGGCAAUGGAGACAGUGCUGCCAGUGGAGGCUGAGAUCCUUGGGGCCCCAGAGAGACUACCUGUCUUCCAGAGCAAGUGGGUCUGUCACUUACAGAAGGGCUGUCGGAUUCACAUCCACAGCAAGGGGUCAUCAUUGAAGAUCCUGGCCUCCUCCCACAAAGGCAAGAACCAGACCUGCCACUUCCUCAUCUCCAGCAGCUACAAAGGCCUCUUUCGCCGAUGCCCACGCAAAUUCAGCUCCACUUCAGAGCUGGUGCUCAGUUUAGCCACAGGCAAGAAACUGCAGGUGGUUGUCACUAAAGAGUGUGAGAGCAGCGAAGGGGAAUUUUCUUUGCUCAGUGUGGGAGACCGGCUAGAGGUCCUGAGCUUGGUGAGGGCCAGUGAUCCUUCGACCACAGAUGUCCUUCUGUGCUGCAGGGACAAUGGAGAUGAAGACAGAGAGCAAAUCCAUGUGCCCCUGUUCUUGGAUGCUGGCUUUGUGGAGGAUGUCCGUGACAACAGGAAAUAUACCCUCUCUGAGGCAGCAGAGCACCUGCAGCUGCCCUGCGAAGUCAAGGUGGUUAGCAGUGACUAUGCCCCAGAUCCUCCAGGCUGCUUCUCUGUCCUGACCUUGGAGGCCCAGAUCAAGUUGCCGUUUCUCAACAUCAGCCUAGCUAAGGAGCCGACCCUCACAUUUGACAUUCCUCCUCAGUGGCUGGACAUGUCUGUCUUCUUCACCAGGGGUCCACCAAAGGUCAGCCCUCCCACCAGCAGUUCCAUGGUGGAAGAGUUAACAGAGGCCUUUUAUUAUCAUUUGCUGAAGCUGCUGCCCAGCAAUGCACCAGCACCUCCAAGACCCCCUAAGCAAAAGGACUCCAAGCUCAACAUGUGCCCCCCAAAAGUCACAGAAGGGGAGAAGGAUGCAGCAGAAACCUCUAAGUUACCUUCCAGGAAGUCAAACAGCGCAUCUCAAGGGUUUGCAAAAUGUCUAUUCUCUGAGCCUAAGCAAAUAAGCACUAAUGGGCGUAUCCUUAUGCUGAACAAUCCAAACCUGGGCACCAUAAAAUAUGAAUAUGAAAGAUUCCAGAAGCCUUCCAAACCCCGUGAAGAAGCCACAGGCACAACUUUCAAUGCUGAUUCUGACAAUGACUACGAAGAAGUUGACAGUGAAGUUCAUGAAAUGGCUUGCAAAUUGCAAAGAGCUGCUAUUAAACAUUGAGAUUCCCGUCUCCAAAGCCAUGGUCCUAGUUCUUUCCUUCCCCACUCUCCUCAUUGUCAGAGCCAGCACAGGGAUGAGAAUUCUCCAUUUUUAUGCAGACUCAUCUAAUUUGCACUUUCUGGCCUAAUACACUGAUCAGAAUGUACUUAUUCUUCAGAUUCUUCUGAAUUUGGUGAUACAGUUCUUGGUUCAGAAAACAUACCAAAAUGCAUUGAAAAUACCUAUUUUAGGGUUAUAUGUGUUUAAAUGGGACAGAAUGGACUUUCAUAACACAUGUGGAAUUGACAGACCAGAAACAGACUGAUUCGUCCAUCUCUAGGCAUGUAUAAAGUAGCUGCUUUUUAUUUUCCCAUUAGUUUUAACCAGCAGCAGUGGCCUCACUUUUGAACCCAAAGCCAGGAGACAAUAGAUUGCCAAAACCUACACAGCAGGACUGUAAUUAGCAUUUGUAAACCCCAAACCAGCAGACUGUUUUGCAGUGGCUCCAGUCAUUCCUGGAGGGGUGAACCCAGAAGGUGGUAUUGGGAAAGUCCUGUUCAACUCCUUGGCCAUUGGCCUGUGGGGUCCUUCAGGGUUCAGUUUUGUCCCCUAUGUUAAACAUCUACAUGAAACCGCUGGGAGAGGUUGUUUGGGCGUUUGGGGUUCGAUGCCACCAGUAUGCUGAUGACACCCAACUCUAUUUCUCCUUUCCACCUUCUUCCAAGGAAGCUGUCUUGGUUUUAAACCGGUGUCUGACGUCAGUGGUGGAUUGGAUGAGGGUGAACAAAUUGAGGCUUAAUCCAGACAAGACAGAGGUGCUCCUGGUCAGUCAUAGGGCAGAUCAGGGAAUAGGGAUGCAGCCUGUGCUGGAUGGGGUUAUACUCCCCCUGAAGACACAGGUUUGCCGUUUGGGUGCCCUCCUGGACUCAGCUUUAAAUUUGGAUUCCCAGGUUUCUGCAGGGGCCAGGAGGGCUUUUGCACAUUUGAGAUCAGUGUGCCAACUGCGCCCGUUCCUUGACCUGUCCAAUCUGGCGACAGUGACACAUGCCUUAGUCACAUCCCAUUUAGAUUACUGUAAUGCGCUCUACGUGGGGCUGCCUCUGAAGACUGCUCAGAAACUUCAGCUGGUACACAACGUGCUGCAGCCAGAAUGUUAACUGGGGCUGAUUACAGGGACCAUACAACUCCCCUGUUAAAAAAGCUCCACUGGCUGCCAGUUUGUUUCCGGACACAAUUCAAAGUGCUGGUGCUGACCUAUAAAGCCCUACACGACUUGAGUCCAGGCUAUUUGUCAGACCGCAUCGCCCUCUAUGUGCCUGUCCGGGCCCUCAGAUCCUCAGGAGAGGCCCUUCUUUCAAUACCUUCAUCCGCACAAGUACAACUAGUGAGGAUACGAGAUAGGACCUUCUCGGUGGCUGCCCCUAGGCUUUGGAAUUCUCUCCCCAAGGAGAUAAGAAUGGCCUCUUCCUUGCAGUCCUUUCAUCGACAGGUACCUAACUGGGAACCAAUAUCAUCCCCAUAGAAUGACAGAGUUGGAAGGAACUUUGAAGGUAAUUCAGUACAACCUCCCUGCUCAGUGCAGGAUACCACAGAUGAAGCAUUCAUCCUUACUCCUCUUGUAUAUCUCCCAACACAGGGGUUUAGUGUGUAAUCCUGAACAGUAGGAUAUUAGUAUUUCCCCAUAUUGCAGAAUGUACAAAAGAGCUGAGACAAAGAGUGCCUUACUUUUAAGAAAAAAAAUGCACACCACCUGUCACUCAUCACAUAUUUAACUCAUUCAAAUUACGAUUUUGUGUACUUUCUACCCCAAAUUUGGCAUGAACCAUCCUCAAAUUUACUUCUCCUACACUGCCAAGUUUCGAAUCAGUCCACUGAACCAUUUUCUAACUAUAGGUUAUAAAACCUACUCUCCACAGUCACCCAUUUAUCAUUAUAAUGGUGGAUGCGAUUCAGCUGACUCACCCUUAAGAUAAAGCUGUGGCCCUAUAAUCAAUACAGCAUGGUAGAAAGGUAUGUGAUUUCUCCUCCUCCCCUACUUGUUUGAGUGAACUGAGCAGCUCUCCUUUCAAAACCCCGGACUGCCUAUAUGUACGUACUUGAGUAUUGGCAGAUUCAUACCACGCAACUGAGACUGCAGAUCCUGAAGACUUAUUCCCUCAGCAGACGUGGAGCUUUUAAUCAAAUUUAGAAUCUUGAAAAGAAAAAUUGGACAUGGUUAUUCAAAUAGCAGAGCAGUAUAGACUCCACACUAGUAUUCUAGCUGCUUGAAGAAUCCUCUUUAUUCAAUGCAGAUUACAAUUAUGGAACACAUUAUUCCUCCUGUUGUCUUGAUGAACAUAACUGCUGAAAUUGGAAAUGAAGGUGUGGCAAAAACAACUCAACUUUCAGCAGUGGAAUACAUGAACUUUCACUGACAUUAAAGAGGUUGAACAACUACAAAGAGGCUGGGGGGGGAGAGAGAGAGAGAGAGAGAGAGACUGACUAGUUGUACAUUUUAAAAGGCAAUUCAAGGCCUUCCUGUUCAGGAACGUCUUUAGCGGGCUUUGAUCCAAACAGGAUUUUAUUCUGGUGUUGUUCUUUUUAUAAUGAGUGUAUGGUUUGGUAUUUCAUAUUACUGUGCUUUUGUCACUGUCACGUCACAUAAUAAUCUUUACGCUUGUUGUAUUUUUUUUAUUUAGCUGUCUUAAUUAUUUGAUAGAAAAGCAAGAUAGAAGUGCCUGAAAUAUAUGUAUAUUUAAAAAUU